rnacentral:rRNA from 1 species
UACGUAGGUGGCAAGCGUUGUCCGGAAUUAUUGGGCGUAAAGAGCUCGUAGGCGGUUUGUCGCGUCGGCUGUGAAAACCUGGGGCUCAACCCCGGGCCUGCAGCCGAUACGGGCAAACUAGAAUUCGGUAGGGGAGACUGGAAUUCCUGGUGUAGCGGUGAAAUGCGCAGAUAUCAGGAGGAACACCGGUGGCGAAGGCGGGUCUCUGGGCCGAUACUGACGCUGAGGAGCGAAAGCGUGGGGAGCGAACAGG